UAGCAGCACAGAAAUAUUGGCACUGGGAAGAGAGUCUGCCAAUAUUGGCUGUGCUGCUCUA
ensembl:miRNA MIR195 microRNA 195